AGUUAUCACCGCCACCUCUCCUGUUUGCCUUUUGCCCGAUUUUCACCGACCCAUCGUUGCGACGACAUAUCCGCACUCGAGCUCACGACGACGCUUAGUUCGCCGUGCGCCGAAGCCGCCCAGCCCUCUACCCCUCGUCUAUAGCGUCACCAAAGGUUCUUCUCCUCGGAUUGCUGCUUCGUGCAAGGAACCUUCGGCCAAGAGGAGAAAAUCCGAGCUCCGGAGUUGCUGUGGUUGAAUUGUCGGUCCCAAGGGCCUGAUCUUGGUGGAGAGGGUGCGCUACAAACGGGGUCUCAUCUUCCCGAGCUACAGCUGGGCUGAUCUGGUCAGGGUUCUCUUCGUCGAUUGUGGAGGUUCCGGCAUCAAGGUUGGGAGGAUUAGCUGAUUGAGGUUUGUGUGUUGGCAAGGUCUCACAGUGAGACUCGACCAAGAUCUCCAGCAACAAACUAUCAUCCGGCGGGCAUCCUCAACAAGUGAUUUCCGGCGGUGAGGCAGUAGUUUUGGAGAGGCUCUGAUUGUGGAUCUGUUGGCAGCAGGGAGCACUGUGCUUGUUCCGGAAAUAGUAGCUCUGGGCUGGGGGGUCAAUCCGAGGACUUUGAUCGAGGUGGGUGUCGUGACGAAGUGACAUUGGAUUUAGCCUACAUUUAGAGGAAGGUAGCCUAUAGAUGAUGCCAGUACACUUGGAGGAGGAUCAUGACUACCAGUCCCACGUCACUACCGAGGAUGAAUUUCUGGUUUUGGUUUAUCGUUUUGUUGUGAUUUGAACUUGUGAACUUGGUAUUGUAAUAACCCAUUGUGGACUUUGUGUUAACUUGUAUUUGGUUUUGUUUUUGUCGAAGAGUCAAGCCGGGACGACCCGCGGUGAGUAGUUUUGUUAUUUUA